rnacentral:lncRNA from 1 species
UUUCUUUUUAUCUUUCCCCAGAUAUUCGUACUUGCCAAGCCUAUUCAGAAAAGUACUUAAGCAUUCCUGGACUCGUGGUGAACACCAAGCCUCAUUCCUUGUAAUCAUAUUAAAAACAAAAACAAAAACAAAAACGGUUUCAUUUGCUGAACAGCAUGAUGUAGGAUUGUAUCAAUCAUUGUGCUUCUCCAAGAAAGACCUGGUGUUGGGCUGUGCUGUGAAGUGAGCUGGUUCUGGGGACUGGUGCAUUGGGCUGCAGAAACUAAGGAGGUUAUCUUGUCCCCUGGAACCUGAGCUGCCUCUGUGGAACUGGAACUAUAUGCUGUGAAGAGACCAGCUACCCAGCAGUGAAGAAAGUUUCAGCAUAACACAUGUGAAAGCAGCAGCUGAGAAAUAAUGGAAACUUUUCUUCUUUAUACAUAAGGUGUUGAGACUCCUCUAAGCACCCGUUACGCAGGUGAUAAAACUACAAUUAGCCACAGAAGC